AUUGAACGCUGGCGGCAUGCCUUACACAUGCAAGUCGAACGGCAGCGGGGGAGAAGCUUGCUUUUCCUGCCGGCGAGUGGCGAACGGGUGAGUAAUACAUCGGAACGUGCCCUGUAGUGGGGGAUAACUAGUCGAAAGAUUAGCUAAUACCGCAUACGACCUGAGGGUGAAAGUGGGGGACCGCAAGGCCUCAUGCUAUAGGAGCGGCCGAUGUCUGAUUAGCUAGUUGGUGGGGUAAAGGCCUACCAAGGCGACGAUCAGUAGCUGGUCUGAGAGGACGAUCAGCCACACUGGGACUGAGACACGGCCCAGACUUCUACGGGAGGCAGCAGUGGGGAAUUUUGGACAAUGGGCGAAAGCCUGAUCCAGCAAUGCCGCGUGUGUGAAGAAGGCCUUCGGGUUGUAAAGCACUUCUGUCCGGAAAGAAAUGGCUCUGGUUAAUACCUGGGGUCGAUGACGGUACCGGAAGAAUAAGGACCGGCUAACUACGUGCCAGCAGCCGCCGUAA
rnacentral:rRNA from 1 species